rnacentral:rRNA from 1 species
GUGGGGAAUAUUGCACAAUGGGCGGAAGCCUGAUGCAGCAACGCCGCGUGAGGGAUGACGGCCUUCGGGUUGUAAACCUCUUUUAGCAGGGAAGAAGCGAAAGUGACGGUACCUGCAGAAAAAGCACCGGCUAACUACGUGCCAGCAGCCGCGGUAAUACGUAGGGUGCAAGCGUUAUCCGGAAUUAUUGGGCGUAAAGAGCUCGUAGGCGGUCUGUCGCGUCUGCUGUGAAAUUCCGAGGCUCAACCUCGGGCUUGCAGUGGGUACGGGCAGACUAGAGUGCGGUAGGGGAGAUUGGAAUUCCUGGUGUAGCGGUGGAAUGCGCAGAUAUCAGGAGGAACACCGAUGGCGAAGGCAGAUCUCUGGGCCGUAACUGACGCUGAGGAGCGAAAGGGUGGGGAGCAAACAGGCUUAGAAACCCGGGUAGUCC